rnacentral:rRNA from 1 species
GUAAGGAAUUUUCCGCAAUGGGCGAAAGCCUGACGGAGCAAUGCCGCGUGAAGGAUGAAGGCCUAUGGGUUGUAAACUUCUUUUCUCAGAAAAGAAUUAUGACGGUAUCUGAGGAAUAAGCAUCGGCUAACUCUGUGCCAGCAGCCGCGGUAAGACAGAGGAUGCAAGCGUUAUCCGGAAUGAUUGGGCGUAAAGCGUCUGUAGGUUGUUUAAAAAGUAUUCUGUCAAAGAUUAGGGCUUAACCCUAGAUAGGCAGAAUAAACUUUUAAGCUAGAGUUUGGUAGAAGCAGAGGGAAUUCCCGGUGGAGCGGUGAAAUGCGUAGAUAUCGGGAGGAACACCAAAGGCGAAGGCACUCUGCUGGGCCAAUACUAACACUGAGAGACGAAAGCGAGGGGAGCAAAUGGGAUUAGAUACCCUAGUAGUCC